GAGGAGUCAGGUUACCCUCAACCUGCUGAGCAGAAGAAACCUUCAUGGUUAAGUUGGCUCAUCCAGGUGCCUUUCCUGAGCAGGCCCCUCAGAUCUUGGAGCCGGGGACUGGACAAAAGAAUUGUGGAAGGAACCACAACUGCCUCAUCUCCUGCAGUCCAGUUCAUCUUACGAUGGUUGCUGGGGAUUCGGUGGUCAUCCAGGAACUGAAGACAGUGUUGUUCCAACUGCCCUUUCCAACAGUCAUGCCAACAGUCGAGUAGUGGGUGGAGCCAGAGUGUCAUGCAGAGCUAUAGAAUCUACCCAGAAUGGCUACUGUGCAGGAGCAGAUCCCAGUUGUGUGAAUA